UCAACUAUCAAGCCUGGCUUGCUGUUGGACUUUGCGGCUGAAACAUGUGGCAGGUCCGAAAAGUAAUGACGGUGUCAUGUUUGACCCUAGAUGCAACGAGCUUUUUAUAGCACGCAUUGAAGUGGUCAACUGAACUGGUCUUAACCAUCAAUUUCUAA
rnacentral:misc_RNA from 1 species